UUUUUAGAGAUGUGAAAUGAAAUUAAAGACAAAUAGCCCAAUAAAAAUCUGGCAUCUUUCUAAUGCAGUAUUUAUUACUUUUUUUUUAAACUAAAAUGGUGUAUGUUAUCUGUUAUUCUCUCUCUCCCUCACGCAGUGUACUGUGGCUUAUUUCACACAGACAUUUUAAAGGAGAGGAAAAGGUCAUUCUGUCUCUUCUUCUGUUUCUAGUCAGAGACUUUGAACUCCAGGUGAAAACCUAAAGGAACUCAGACUAUUUUGAAGAUCUUCAAGGGUGGCAAGACAAACUUCUAAGAAGUAAUUUUACCCUACCAUGGUUGAGGAAGAAACAGCACUCUGGAGAGACCUCAUGGAGAGGCACUGAGAUACCUGGCCAACAGCCUCAGCUGAACACCAACUUGCCAGCCAUGUGAGUUAGUCAUCUUGGAAGUGCAUCAUCUAUGCUCAAUUGAGGUGCCUCAUUUAACUCAGUCUGGAGCAGAGACGAAUCAUUUCUGCCAAAUCCUGCCCGAAUUGUAGAUUUGUAAGCAAAAUAAAUUAUUGUUGUUUUAAAUCACCAUGUAUCUGGGUGGUUUGUUACAUAACCAUAAAUAACUGCAACAUUAAUUUUAUGCCUUCUUGAGGAAUGGGAGUUUGGGAUUAAAGCUAAGAACAGUUAUUAUCAUACCCAUUUAUUAUCUACCUAGCAAGUAAGAUUUUCAUAGCCACAAAAUCGGAUUGCAAAAAUAUAACUUAAAAAAAACAAAACAGAAAAACAGCUUUGUAAGUAUAGCUUGCUUUUUUGGAUAGAAGAUGACUAUGAAAUCGAGGAAUGAGGAAGUUCAUCCAGGGGAUUAUGGAGCAAAGGAGGAGGAUAUAACGAGAGAAAAAGGAGAGGAAAACAAUCAGAUGUUUGUCUCAAUUACUUUUGCAUGCUUUGGCUUAGGGACAGGGGAAAUGUGCCCGGGAACAAGGGCGGGGGUUCUUGCCCUGUUUUCAGUUUGCUGCUCUGUGAAGAGGGCCCUGGACAGGAGGUGUCACAUCAGCAC